GGGAAAGUCAAGAUGGACGCGUCCAUUUGAACGUCUCGCACGCCUUCCUGCCAUUAGCACUCGAGCCCGCUGCUGUUGCCCGUUCUUCCUCCAGAAUAGGGGAGGGAGAGGGAAUGAGAAGCUGCUGCGGCCCAAGAGUCACUGUGAAGGACCCCGCCGCUGCCCUCGGGCCUCCUCGGCCCCUGCGCCUCCGGGGAGCAGCCGGGGCUCGCCGCGCCUGACGCGUCCCGAGUUAUACAGAAAUAAUGUUGAUAUUUGGAACCCAUGUCGAACUUCUAUGAAGAAAGGACAACGAUGAUUGCAGCAAGGGAUUUGCAGGAAUUUGUUCCUUUUGGUCGAGACCACUGCAAGCACCACCCUAAUGCUUUGAACCUUCAACUUCGCCAGCUGCAGCCAGCUUCUGAAUUAUGGUCUUCUGAUGGUGCUGCUGGCUUGGUGGGAUCCCUUCAGGAGGUUACAAUCCACGAGAAACAGAAGGUUCCAUUGAGUUUCCCAUUGUGUUUUUGAAAUGUAGAGUGAUAUAAUCUACUUGUAAUUUAAGGCUACUAAGAUGCAACUGAGAGAUCGGUGUGAUGCCACU
rnacentral:lncRNA from 1 species